GAUCCUGCUCAGAUUGAACGCUGGCGGCAUGCUUUACACAUGCAAGUCGAACGGCAGCAUAGAGAGCUUGCUCUCUGAUGGCGAGUGGCGAACGGGUGAGUAAUACAUCGGAACGUGUCCUGUUGUGGGGGAUAACUACUCGAAAGAGUAGCUAAUACCGCAUAAGACCUAAGGGUGAAAGCGGGGGACCUUCGGGCCUCGCGCAGUUGGAGCGGCCGAUGACUGAUUAG
rnacentral:rRNA from 1 species